rnacentral:rRNA from 1 species
UGCCCUGCACUUUGGGAUAAGCCUGGGAAACUGGGUCUAAUACCGAAUAGGACCACGCGCUUCAUGGUGUGUGGUGGAAAGCUUUUGCGGUGUGGGAUGGGCCCGCGGCCUAUCAGCUUGUUGGUGGGGUAAUGGCCUACCAAGGCGACGACGGGUAGCCGGCCUGAGAGGGUGACCGGCCACACUGGGACUGAGAUACGGCCCAGACUCCUACGGGAGGCAGCAGUGGGGAAUAUUGCACAAUGGGCGCAAGCCUGAUGCAGCGACGCCGCGUGAGGGAUGACGGCCUUCGGGUUGUAAACCUCUUUCAAUAGGGACGAAGCGCAAGUGACGGUACCUAUAGAAGAAGCACCGGCCAACUACGUGCCAGCAGCCGCGGUAAUACGUAGGGUGCGAGCGUUGUCCGGAAUUACUGGGCGUAAAGAGCUCGUAGGUGGUUUGUCGCGUUGUUCGUGAAAACUCACAGCUUAACUGUGGGCGUGCGGGCGAUACGGGCAGACUAGAGUACUGCAGGGGAGACUGGAAUUCCUGGUGUAGCGGUGGAAUGCGCAGAUAUCAGGAGGAACACCGGUGGCGAAGGCGGGUCUCUGGGCAGUAACUGACGCUGAGGAGCGAAAGCGUGGGGAGCGAACAGGAUUAGAUACCCUGGUAGUCCACGCCGUAAACGGUGGGUACUAGGUGUGGGUUCCUUCCUUGGGAUCCGUGCCGUAGCUAACGCAUUAAGUACCCCGCCUGGGGAGUACGGCCGCAA